rnacentral:misc_RNA from 1 species
GCAAUACAAUCUAUAUACUCUCACAAUUAGAAUUCACUUUCUUUGCUCAAUUAAGUCCAACCAUGGAGUUGAAGUUUCUUCACAUCCUUACAUAUCUUUCAUUGGCACUAGUGGCAAGUCAUGCAGCUCUUCCUGUUACCUAUUGGAAUACUAAGCUGCCUAAUACUCCAAUACCUAAGGCAAUCAAAGAAUCUCUCCAGCCUUCUGGACUUACGGAAGACAAAAGCACUUCAGUAGAUGUAGGCAAAGGUGGAGUAAACGUCGGAGUCGACAAGGGCCGCCACCACUCCGGUGGAACAAACGUGAACGUUGGAGGCAAUAAAGGCGGCGGCGUUAACGUGGACACUCCAGGUGGGACCCACGUAGGCGUUGGUAAAGGAGGAGUUGGUGUUACAACCCCCGGCCACCAUGGAAAACCACCAGUCUCCGUGGGUGUUCACCCUGGACCCUCACCGUUUGUUUACAAUUACGCGGCGAAAGACGAUCAACUUAACGAUAACCCUAACGUGGCGUUAUUUUUCCUGGAAAAAGAUUUGCAUGAGGGAAGUAACAUGAAGUUGAAGUUUGUGGAAAAUGGCAAUGGAGCUUCGUUUUUGCCCCGUCAAGAGGCGGAUUCGAUUCCGUUUAGCUCAGAGAAGAUGCCGGAGAUACUUCACAAGUUUUCAGUGGAUGAGGAUAGUGAAGAAGGUCAGAUUAUGAAGAAGACAGUAAGAGAAUGUGAAGAGCCAGGUAUUAAAGGAGAGGAGAAGUAUUGUGCAACUUCAUUAGAAUCCAUGAUUGAUUUCACCACAUCAAAGUUAGGAAACAAAGUGCAACCAUUAUCAACAGAGACACAAAAAGAAAACACAGAAAUGCAAAAAUACACAAUCCUAGGAGCCAAGAAAAUGGGAAACAACAAUGACAAAUCAGUAGUUUGUCACAAACAAAACUAUGCCUAUGCAGUAUUUUAUUGUCACAAAACAGAAACAACAGAGUCAUACAUGGUAUCAUUAGUUGGUGUUGAUGGAACAAAAGUUAAGGCUGUGGCUGUUUGUCACAAAGACACAUCACAAUGGAACCCAAAACAUUUGGCUUUUAAAGUUCUUAAGGUUACACCUGGAUCCGUCCCUGUUUGUCAUUUCCUUCCACAAGAUCACAUUGUUUGGGUCCCUAAGAACUAGAAAAUAAUUAGAUGACAUAUGUUUAAUUGUCUUCUAAAAAUUUGGGUUGUUUUUAUGUAUUAUAUGUAAUAAUACAAAGUAUGUUGUGUUUGUCUUAUACUUUUUGUCUUGUUGUAUAAUCAUACUUUACUAUACUAA